rnacentral:rRNA from 1 species
UGGGGAAUAUUGCACAAUGGGCGAAAGCCUGAUGCAGCAACGCCGCGUGAGGGACGACGGCCUUCGGGUUGUAAACCUCUUUUAGCAAGGAAGAAGCGAAAGUGACGGUACUUGCAGAAAAAGCGCCGGCUAACUACGUGCCAGCAGCCGCGGUAAUACGUAGGGCGCAAGCGUUAUCCGGAAUUAUUGGGCGUAAAGAGCUCGUAGGCGGUUUGUCGCGUCUGCUGUGAAAACCCGAGGCUCAACCUCGGGCCUGCAGUGGGUACGGGCAGACUAGAGUGCGGUAGGGGAGAUUGGAACUCCUGGUGUAGCGGUGGAAUGCGCAGAUAUCAGGAAGAACACCGAUGGCGAAGGCAGAUCUCUGGGCCGUAACUGACGCUGAGGAGCGAAACGGGUGGGGAGCAAACAGGCUUAGAUACCCUGGUAGUCCACCCCGUAAACGUUGGGAACUAGUUGUGGGGUCCAUUCCACGGAUUCCGUGACGCAGCUAACGCAUUAAGUUCCCCGCCUGGGGAGUACGGCCGCAAGGCUAAAACUUGAAAUGAAUUGACGGGGUCAUAGCU